rnacentral:rRNA from 1 species
GUGCCAGCAGCCGCGGUAACACGUAGGAUCCGAGCGUUAUCCGAAUUUACUGGGCGUAAAGCGCGUGCAGGCGGUUCGGUAAGUUGGAUGUGAAAUCUCCUGGCUCAACUGGGAGAGGACGUUCAAUACUGUCGGACUAGAGGAUGGUAGAGGGAGGUGGAAUUCCCGGUGUAGUGGUGAAAUGCGUAGAUAUCGGGAGGAACACCAGUGGCGAAGGCGGCCUCCUGGGCCAUUCCUGACGCUCAGACGCGAAGGCUAGGGUAGCGAACGGGAUUAGAUACCCUGGUAGUCC